GAUGAACGCUGGCGGCGUGCCUAAUACAUGCAAGUCGAGCGAACAGACGAGGAGCUUGCUCCUCUGACGUUAGCGGCGGACGGGUGAGUAACACGUGGAUAACCUACCUAUAAGACUGGGAUAACUUCGGGAAACCGGAGCUAAUACCGGAUAAUAUAUUGAACCGGAUGGUUCAAUAGUGAAAGACGGUUUUGCUGUCACUUAUAGAUGGAUACGCGCCGCAUUCGCUAGUUGGUAAGGUAACGGCUUACCAAGGCAACGAUGCGUAGCCGACCUGAGGGGGUGAUCGGCCACACUGGAACUGAGACACGGUCCAGACUCCUACGGGAGGCAGCAGUAGGGAAUCUUCCGCAAUGGGCGAAAGCCUGACGGAGCAACGCCGCGUGAGUGAUGAAGGUCUUCGGAUCGUAAAACUCUGUUAUUAGGGAAGAACAAAUGUGUAAGUAACUAUGCACGUCUUGACGGUACCUAAUCAGAAAGCCACGGCUAACUACGUG
rnacentral:rRNA from 1 species